UGCUAGGUGGCGCUGUUAGUCAAAUGCGUCACUCGGGUGGGACAUCUGACAUGUCUGGGCGGGACGGUAUGAACUUCAUACCACAUUCAACGACAUGAAAAAGUCAUACACGUUUUUUUAUGUCAAAAGGGAAGGGAAUAGGUAGCUUACAGGUUGGAUCUGUGGCCACAUGUGAUCAAUCGGCAUGACAUCACAGCCAUAUGGGUAACAUGGGAGCAGCUGGCAGGUCACAACCUUCUCUGAAGGGGCAGCUGAUACUUCAGCCAGGUUCAGAGGGUAAAGCCUGGCAUAUGGAAACUCUUUGGUGUAGUUCAAAAGAUGUCCAGAAGGGGGCAUCAUACAUUGAUGGAAAUGCAGAUCUUUCACUGUCACUGGUGUCAAUAUUAGUAUACUGAUGAAGUGCAGUUACAGGAAUCCUCACAUUCCAUCAGAUUUGAUGGUUAUAGUUUCAAAUAUAUCCUCUCUUCCCACUGGACCUGGCCAUGGCAUAUAGAAGAUUCAAGUGAUGUUGAAAAUGUCCUUACAACUACAACAAAAUGGCCUGUCAAAUAUUCCAGACCUACACUUAAUAGACUAAGGCCUAGGAAAAAAAUGUUGUGUUUCUUGUUUCCCGACCGACCCUAGAAAAACCUGCCAACCCUAGACUUU